rnacentral:rRNA from 1 species
GAUGAACGCUGGCGGCGUGCUUAACACAUGCAAGUCGAACGAAGCACCUUGAUUCGAUUCUUCGGAUGAAGAUCUUGGUGACUGAGUGGCGGACGGGUGAGUAACGCGUGGGUAACCUGCCUCAUACAGGGGGAUAACAGUUAGAAAUGACUGCUAAUACCGCAUAAGACCACAGCACCGCAUGGUGCAGGGGUAAAAACUCCGGUGGUAUGAGAUGGACCCGCGUCUGAUUAGGUAGUUGGUGGGGUAACGGCCUACCAAGCCGACGAUCAGUAGCCGACCUGGGAGGGUGACCGGCCACAUUGGGAUUGAGACACGGCCCAAACUCCUACGGGAGGCAGCAGUGGGGAAUAUUGCACAAUGGGGGAAACCCUGAUGCAGCGACGCCGCGUGAGCGAUGAAGUAUUUCGGUAUGUAAAGCUCUAUCAGCAGGGAAGAAAAUGACGGUACCUGACUAAGAAGCACCGGCUAAAUACGUG